UGGGGAAUUUUGGACAAUGGGGGAAACCCUGAUCCAGCCAUCCCGCGUGUGCGAUGAAGGCCUUCGGGUUGUAAAGCACUUUUGGCAGGAAAGAAACGUCGCGGGUUAAUACCCCGCGAAACUGACGGUACCUGCAGAAUAAGCACCGGCUAACUACGUGCCAGCAGCCGCGGUAAUACGUAGGGUGCAAGCGUUAAUCGGAAUUACUGGGCGUAAAGCGUGCGCAGGCGGUUCGGAAAGAAAGAUGUGAAAUCCCAGAGCUUAACUUUGGAACUGCAUUUUUAACUACCGGGCUAGAGUGUGUCAGAGGGAGGUGGAAUUCCGCGUGUAGCAGUGAAAUGCGUAGAUAUGCGGAGGAACACCGAUGGCGAAGGCAGCCUCCUGGGAUAACACUGACGCUCAUGCACGAAAAGCGUGGGGGGCAAACAGGAUUAGAUACCCUGGUAGUCCACGCCCUAAACGAUGUCAACUAGCUGUUGGGGCCUUCGGGCCUUGGUAGCGCAGCUAACGCGUGAAGUUGACCGCCUGGGGAGUACGGUCGCAAGAUUAAGACUCAAAUGAAUUGACGGGGUCAUAGCUGUUUCCU
rnacentral:rRNA from 1 species